rnacentral:rRNA from 1 species
CAGUCGCCGCGGGAAUACAGAGGGUGCGAGCGUUAAUCGGAUUUACUGGGCGUAAAGCGUGCGUAGGCGGCUUCUUAAGUCGGAUGUGAAAUCCCUGAGCUUAACUUAGGAAUUGCAUUUGAUACUGGGAAGCUAGAGUAUGGGAGAGGAUGGUAGAAUUCCAGGUGUAGCGGUGAAAUGCGUAGAGAUCUGGAGGAAUACCGAUGGCGAAGGCAGCCAUCUGGCCUAAUACUGACGCUGAGGUACGAAAGCAUGGGGAGCAAACAGGAUUAGAUACCCCUGUAGUCCCUGUCUCUUAUAC